GAUGAACGCUGGCGGCGUGCUUAACACAUGCAAGUCGAACGAAGCACUUUUGCUGAGACCUUCGGGUGGAUUUAAAAGUAGACCGAGUGGCGGACGGGUGAGUAACGCGUGGGUAACCUGCCUCACACAGGGGGAUAACAGUUAGAAAUGACUGCUAAUACCGCAUAAGCGCACGGUCUCGCAUGGGACAGUGUGAAAAACUCCGGUGGUACAGGAUGGACCCGCGUCUGAUUAGCUAGUUGGUGAGGUAACGGCUUACCAAGGCAACGAUCAGUAGCCGACUUGAGAGAGUGAUCGGCCACAUUGGGACUGAGACACGGCCCAAACUCCUACGGGAGGCAGCAGUGGGGAAUAUUGCACAAUGGGGGAAACCCUGAUGCAGCGACGCCGCGUGGAGGAAGAAGGUCUUCGGAUUGUAAACUCCUGUUGUUGAGGAAGAUAAUGACGGUACUCAACAAGGAAGUGACGGCUAACUACGUG
rnacentral:rRNA from 1 species